GCUUAACACAUGCAAGUCGAGGGGCAGCAUGGUCUUAGCUUGCUAAGGCCGAUGGCGACCGGCGCACGGGUGAGUAACACGUAUCCAACCUGCCGUCUACUCUUGGACAGCCUUCUGAAAGGAAGAUUAAUACAAGAUGGCAUCAUGAGUCCGCAUGUUCACAUGAUUAAAGGUAUUCCGGUAGACGAUGGGGAUGCGUUCCAUUAGAUAGUAGGCGGGGUAACGGCCCACCUAGUCUUCGAUGGAUAGGGGUUCUGAGAGGAAGGUCCCCCACAUUGGAACUGAGACACGGUCCAAACUCCUACGGGAGGCAGCAGUGAGGAAUAUUGGUCAAUGGGCGAGAGCCUGAACCAGCCAAGUAGCGUGAAGGAUGACUGCCCUAUGGGUUGUAAACUUCUUUUAUAAAGGAAUAAAGUCGGGUAUGGAUACCCGUUUGCAUGUACUUUAUGAAUAAGGAUCGGCUAACUCCGUGCCAGCAGCCGCGGUAAUACGGAGGAUCCGAGCGUUAUCCGGAUUUAUUGGGUUUAAAGGGAGCGUAGAUGGAUGUUUAAGUCAGUUGUGAAAGUUUGCGGCUCAACCGUAAAAUUGCAGUUGAUACUGGAUAUCUUGAGUGCAGUUGAGGCAGGCGGAAUUCGUGGUGUAGCGGUGAAAUGCUUAGAUAUCACGAAGAACUCCGAUUGCGAAGGCAGCCUGCUAAGCUGCAACUGACAUUGAGGCUCGAAAGUGUGGGUAUCAAACAGGAUUAGAUACCCUGGUAGUCCACACGGUAAACGAUGAAUACUCGCUGUUUGCGAUAUACAGCAAGCGGCCAAGCGAAAGCGUUAAGUAUUCCACCUGGGGAGUACGCCGGCAACGGUGAAACUCAAAGGAAUUGACGGGGGCCCGCACAAGCGGAGGAACAUGUGGUUUAAUUCGAUGAUACGCGAGGAACCUUACCCGGGCUUAAAUUGCAGAUGAAUUACGGUGAAAGCCGUAAGCCGCAAGGCAUCUGUGAAGGUGCUGCAUGGUUGUCGUCAGCUCGUGCCGUGAGGUGUCGGCUUAAGUGCCAUAACGAGCGCAACCCUUGUUGUCAGUUACUAACAGGUUCCGCUGAGGACUCUGACAAGACUGCCAUCGUAAGAUGUGAGGAAGGUGGGGAUGACGUCAAAUCAGCACGGCCCUUACGUCCGGGGCUACACACGUGUUACAAUGGGGGGUACAGAGGGCCGCUACCACGCGAGUGGAUGCCAAUCCCCAAAACCUCUCUCAGUUCGGACUGGAGUCUGCAACCCGACUCCACGAAGCUGGAUUCGCUAGUAAUCGCGCAUCAGCCACGGCGCGGUGAAUACGUUCCCGGGCCUUGUACACACCGCCCGUCAAGCCAUGGGAGCCGGGGGUACCUGAAGUGCGUAACCGCGAGGAGCGCCCUAAGGUAAAACUGGUGACUGGGGCUAAAU
rnacentral:rRNA from 1 species